rnacentral:lncRNA from 1 species
AUGUUCUCCAACUUUUGUUCCACAGGUGUUCUACUGUUUGAUACUUUGGCAUGGUAUGUGAGUAUGCCAUCAGAAAUUUAUGGCCUCCAAGGUUCCUGUCUGGUCAUACCAUGUUCUUUCUACUACACAUCAUACCCACCCAAAGACCCACGUAGAGUUGUGUGGUAUCAGUGGGUCUCUAGAGGUUAUCCUUUAGUUUAUGAUCCAUGGUAUCCAAAUCAUGUCAUUGAGAAGUUCAGAUGGAAAACUGAUUUAUAUGGUGAUCCAUCAAGUAGGGAUUGCAGUCUGUUGAUUAAAAACCUGGAACUGUCCCACCAUGGAGAGAAAUUAUAUGCAUGGAUUGACCCUGAAAAUGUUGGAUGGCGCACCUACGCAUUUUAUGACGUCACCUCAACUAUUGUUGUUCACACACAGCCACAGCAGCCCAGCAUUUAUAUUUAUGGAGGUGAAAGGACGGGGGACACAGUCACAGUAGCAUGUUCAGCUUUCCACACGUGUCCAUACAGCAAACCAACAAUAACUCUGAAUGGUGUAGAAGGAUCUGACGAAAUCAGGGAUGAGUCUAUUAAAAACAAUCUGUGGAAAAUCACUCUGACACGCACAGGUGUCAUAAUGACAGAGCGCUCAACUAUUAAGUGUUCAGUAACACAUUAUGGUGGGAUAACAGUGACAGCUACAAAGGACAAAAGUGCAGAAUGUGAGUAAACACAAAUAUGAACUGUUAUGUAGCUAUAAAUUCACUAUCAAUGUCACAGCGGAACCUAUUACAAGUUUUCAGUUCAAUUUCAGGUGCUCAUCAUAAAAUAUUGAUUGAGCCUGGACUGGCAGAUGUCACAGAGGGCGUCGCAAAGAACUUUAACUGUAGUGUCUACCAUUCCUGCCAGAAAGAGGAUCCAACCAUCACAUGGAACUAUGAAAACAUGCAGGUCACAAAGGGGGAACAAAAAAACCCUCUGGUUUAAAUAAGAUCAGCUAUUCCAACAUAACCUUUCUGGCUGCAAAAGAGGACAAUGGAAAGGAACUGAUUUGCACCGCGACAUUUUCUGGAGCAAACUUUAAAGCAUCUGUUGUUUUACGUGUACACCGUGAGUAAUCUUACAUUAUGUGUGUUGUGGGCUUAUUCAGAAUUAUUUUUUUUAUAUAUAUAAUUGAUUCAUUUUGAAUCUGCACAAGCAAGAAACAAAUCGUGUGCUGGCUGCCAUGAAGAUGGUGAAGAUUAAGGCCUGAAAAAGAUAUGCAAUGCAAGUAUAUGAACACGGAGGCUUCGAGCUAUGAAAGCACGUGUGCAACCAAAUGUUCAAAUACUUGCAUGACGUACUGUAUGUUUCUAGCCUAAAGCACAA